rnacentral:rRNA from 1 species
UACGUAGGGGGCGAGCGUUGUCCGGAUUUAUUGGGCGUAAAGAGCGUGUAGGCGGCUUGGUAGGUCCGCUGUGAAAACUCGGGGCUCAACCCCGAGAGGUCGGUGGAAACCAUCUGGCUAGAGUCCGGAAGAGGAGAGUGGAAUUCCCGGUGUAGCGGUGAAAUGCGCAGAUAUCGGGAAGAAUAUCCGUGGCGAAGGCGGCUCUCUGGGACGGUACUGACGCUGAGACGCGAAAGCGUGGGGAGCGAACAGG